UACAGAGGUGGCAAGCGUUGUUCGGAAUUACUGGGCGUAAAGGGCGCGUAGGCGGCCUUCUAAGUCAGACGUGAAAUCCCCCGGCUUAACCUGGGAACUGCGUCUGAUACUGGAAGGCUUGAGUGCGGGAGAGGGAUGUGGAAUUCCAGGUGUAGCGGUGAAAUGCGUAGAUAUCUGGAGGAACACCGGUGGCGAAGGCGGCAUCCUGGACCGGUAUUGACGCUGAGGAGCGAAAGCCAGGGGAGCAAACGGG
rnacentral:rRNA from 1 species